CGAUCCUAGCUUGCUAGGAGGCGUCGAGCGGCGGACGGGUGAGUAAUGCAUAGGAAUCUACCCGGUCGUGGGGGAUAACGUGGGGAAACCCACGCUAAUACCGCAUACGUCCUACGGGAGAAAGGGGGCUCCGGCUCCCGCGAUCGGAUGAGCCUAUGCCGGAUUAGCUGGUUGGUGAGGUAAUGGCUCACCAAGGCAACGAUCCGUAGCUGGUUUGAGAGGAUGAUCAGCCACAUCGGGACUGAGACACGGCCCGAACUCCUACGGGAGGCAGCAGUGGGGAAUAUUGGACAAUGGGCGAAAGCCUGAUCCAGCCAUGCCGCGUGUGUGAAGAAGGCCCUCGGGUUGUAAAGCACUUUCAGUGAGGAAGAACGCCGUCGGGUUAAUACCCCGGCGGAAAGACAUCACUCACAGAAGAAGCACCGGCUAACUCCGUGCCAGCAGCCGCGGUAAUACGGAGGGUGCGAGCGUUAAUCGGAAUUACUGGGCGUAAAGCGCGCGUAGGCGGCUUGAUCAGCCGGUUGUGAAAGCCCCGGGCUCAACCUGGGAACAGCAUCCGGAACUGUCAGGCUAGAGUGCAGGAGAGGAAGGUAGAAUUCCCGGUGUAGCGGUGAAAUGCGUAGAGAUCGGGAGGAAUACCAGUGGCGAAGGCGGCCUUCUGGACUGACACUGACGCUGAGGUGCGAAAGCGUGGGUAGCAAACAGGAUUAGAUACCCUGGUAGUCCACGCCGUAAACGAUGUCGACCAGCCGUUGGGAUCCUAGAGAUCCUUGUGGCGAAG
rnacentral:rRNA from 1 species